UAGGACACAGGUCAGUUAUAUGAUAGGACACAGGUCAGUGAUAUGAUAGGACACAGGUCAGUGAUAUGAUAGGACACAGGUCAGUGAUAUGAUAGGACACAGGUCAGUGAUAUGAUAGGACACAGGUCAGUGAUAUGAUAGGACACAGGUCAGUUAUAUGAUAAGAAACAGGUCAGUG